CCAGGUGGCGUUCUACAUGUAAACAAGAGUCAAUGGACUACGAAGGAGACUUUACAAGUAAUAACAAAUCUCAUGACAGACAAAUGUAGACCUAUAUUUAAAUAAUUAGACCUCCCUCAUUGGAAAUGGGCUGGACUCCGGCCUAAUAGUCGUUCCUGAUGCUCGUGAUGUAGACAAAGAAGCCACAACUAUCAGGAAAGAAUAUCUGGACUGAAAGGGCAACAGAACUUACCAAUUAUUCAUAGAUACCCACAAAUUGUCACUCAUCAAGCUUCUGGAUAUGAAAUUAAUUAAAAUAUAGUGUGAUUUUUUUUAAUGUUUUCCUCUGUAAAAAUCUCAAAAAUAAUGUUAGCAAUAUGUAUUAAUUCUUGUAGGCUGUAUAUUUAUUAAUAUUGUAUUAUUACCGCUAAUGUUUAUCUUAUUAAUAAAGUAACCCGUUUGUUGUAAAGAAUAUAGACAUGUAAGGUAAUAAGAUAUAACAUUUUUAGGAUUAAAAUCAGGUCUAUUGGUUUUUGCCGGAUGUACAUGAUAUAGACCUACAGUAUAUAAAUAUAAAAUGUAUACAUAUAUCCCAACUUGAUUUCAAUGUUUGAAAAUAAAUAUGAAAUGGAAUUUGCA